GUGUGUGUAUUUCUGGUUUGGGAAGCAGGCGGAGAGCACAAGCCAAGGAGAGAGCGAGCAAGCCCGGACUGGCAGAGAGAGAAGGAAGGAAGGAAGGAAAGAAAGAAAGAAAGAAAGAAAGAAGGGAGGGAAGGGCGGGGAGAGGAGGAGGAGAGGAGCCGGAGCCACUCAGGAGAGCAGGACUUCUUUCCCCUCCUCCUCCUCCUCCCUUCCUUCCUUCCUCCCUUUCCCUCCAACCGGGGAUAUAACCAGAGCCGAGUCCAGGCUGGGCUGGGUCUUCCUGCCCCCUUCCCCGGCUCUUUUGGGCUCCACGGACCCCGAGGAUCUGACGCCGGAGAAGAGACUGAGAGCAGGACAAGGAGGAGGAGGAUCUUCCAGCACUCACUCACACUCACUCACUCUCUCUCGGAGAUUCGUUUUGCAAGGAGACUCGGAUUGAUUCGCUUCUUCUUUUUUUUUGGACCUCACCGAAAAUUGGGAAAUAUUAUUUUUCUAUCCCUUUCGCAGCCAGGAAAAGUUCUCUCUCUCUCUCUCUCUCUCUCUCUUGCGACUUUUGCAGAGCUCAACUUUUCCUAAACUUUUCUCAACUUCCUCCCCAACUACUUUCCUCAACUUUUCCCCCAAGUUUUCCCCAACUAUUUUUCCCCCAACUACUUUCAACUACUUCACCCAACUACUUCCACCUACCUUUUCCCUAACUACUUCACCCAACUACUUUCAACUACUUUCCUCAACUACUUCACCCAACUACUUUAACCAACUACUUCUAUCUACCUUUUCCCAACUACUUUUCUCCCAACUACUUCCACCUACCUUUUUCCCAACUACUUUACCCAACUACUUUCAACUACGUUCCUCAACUACUUCACCCAACUACUUUAACCAACUAUUUCUAUCUACCUUUUCCCAACUACUUUUCUCCCCACUACUUCCACCUACCUUUUCACCCAACUACUUUCAACUACGUUCCUCAACUACUUCACCCAACUACUUUCAACUACGUUCCUCAACUACUUCACCCAACUACUUUAACCAACUACUUCUAUCUACCUUUUCCCAACUACUUUUCUCCCCACUACUUCCACCUACCUUUUCACCCAACUACUUUCAACUACGUUCCUCAACGACUUCACCUGACUACUUUCAACUACUUCACCCAACUACUUUAACCAACUACUUCUAUCUACCUUUUCCCAACUACUUUUCUCCCAACUACUUCCACCUACCUUUUCUCCCAACUACUUUUCUCCCAACAACUUUUCCUCUCAACUACUUUACCCAACUACUUUCACCAACUACUUCUCCCAACUACUUUCUCCAAACUAUUCUCAACUUUAUCCCAACUUCUCCCCAACUUCUCCCCAACUUUCCUCACCUUUUCCCAACUACUUUCUCCAACUUUUCCUUUGGGAAGAAGGCAACCUGGUGCCUGUCCCGGGAAGAUGCUGCUGCGGUGGCUGCUCUUCGUGGCCCAGACGCUGGUCCUGGUGGCCAAGGCCCUGGUGGGCUCCCUGCUGCCCCCCAAGAGGAGGGACCUGCGGGCCGACCACGUCCUCAUCACCGGCGGAGGCAGAGGCAUCGGCAGAGCCCUGGCCCGGGAGUUCGCCAGGCGAGGAGCCCGGAAGAUCAUCCUCUGGGGCCGGACGGAGAAGUGCUUGAAGGAAGCGGCCGAGGAGAUCCAAGCCAUGGGCACCGAGUGCCACUACUUCAUCUGCGACGUGGGCAACCGGGAGGAGGUCUACCGGCAGGCCAAAGCGGUCCGCGAGAAGGUGGGAGACAUCACCAUCCUUGUGAACAACGCAGCCGUGGUGCACGGCAAGAGCCUCAUGGACAGCGACGAUGACGCUCUGCUGAAGUCGCAGCACAUCAACACGUUGGGACAAUUCUGGACGACAAAGGCCUUCCUGCCGCGGAUGCUGGAGCUCCAGAACGGGCACAUUGUUUGCCUCAACUCCAUCCUGGCUCUGUCCGCCAUCCCCGGAGCCAUCGACUACUGCACUUCCAAAGCCUCCUCCUUUGCCUUCAUGGAGAGCUUGACGCUGGGGCUGCUGGAUUGCCCUGGGGUGAACGCCACCACCGUCCUGCCCUUCCACACCAGCACGGAGAUGUUCCAAGGCAUGCGGAUCAGGGGCUGUGUUUGUCUUUCAGGUUCCCCAACCUCUUCCCUCCUUUAAAGCCGGAGACGGUGGCCCAGAGGACGGUGGAAGCCGUUCGGCAGAACCAAGCAUUCCUCCUCCUUCCGUGGACGAUGCACAUCCUCGUCAUCUUGAAAAGCAUCCUUCCGCAGGCCGCCCUCGAGGAAAUCCACAAGUUCUCCGGGAGCUACACCUGCAUGAACACUUUCAAAGGCCGCUCGUAGACGCCGCAAACGAGCAGGAACGGCAUCUCGGGAAGAGCGUGUUACCGCGUUGUGUUACGACGAGAGCCUCCGCGACGCGGACAGACACAACGGCUCGGGACGUUUUGGGGUCUAAUCCCUUAGGAACCAAACGCUUCCGUUUACGACGGUUUUCCCGACGUACGGCAAACGGGUUUCAUCGUGAACGGGUUUUGCGGGAGGUCGGGAACGUCUGCUUCUCUUUCUUCUUCAAGGCUUACCUGGUCCGCUAGCUUGGGAAGAUCAGCAAGGUUAAUUUCUGCACGUGGGAGACUCCGUAUCCGCGCAUCCCAGAUCCGCGCACCCCGUAUCCGCGCACCCCGUAUCCGCGCAUCCCAUAUCCGCACACCCCAUAUCCGCUCAUCUUUGCGGCCUCCCGUUUUACGGGAUCUGACUUUGGACUCUUCUGAAACGGGGGCCAUGCUUGAUUUCAAUGGGUCUCCUCUAAGUCUGGAUCCAAUCCUUUGCUUUGUAGAGCUCUCACUUUGUCCGGCGACCUUCAGGGACAAUUGGGUCGCAAUGUUAACCGCCCAAUGGAUUCUUGAUUCUUGCAUCCUCACGUACUCCGAAACCUACCACCUCGACUUCCAGGAGCUUAAUAUGGACAUUUUCGUUGUCGAGACCUUCUCGUUUAUAUGGAGCGACAAAUUAUGCUACAUAAUAUGAAGUGUGGCGUUCCCAAGAUUUGUCUUCCGACGGGCGGUUGGCGGGUGGUUGCAUUUGUGGGAAUCGUUGGGAAGGAAUAAAUCCUUCCAGAAAGACGUCCAGAGCUUGUUUGGCUCUCCCCACUUGUUGCCGUUUACUAUGUAAUUCCUCGACAAGCACAAACCCGCCGGAUGGUUGAAGCCGAUAUAAAGGGUUCGCCAAACAAUGCCAA